GGCCGGCUUGAGUGCGGUAGGGGAGACUGGAAUUCCUGGUGUAGCGGUGAAAUGCGCAGAUAUCAGGAGGAACACCAAUGGCGAAGGCAGAUCUCUGGGCUGUAACUGACGCUGAGGAGCGAAAGCGUGGGGAGCGAACAGGAUUAGAUACCCUGGUAGUCCACGCUGUAAACGGUGGGUACUAGGUGUGUGGUC
rnacentral:rRNA from 1 species